AUGUUAUGGCAAACGUAGGUUUAAAGCCAGAGGAAAACACAAGAGCUUUCUCCCCGUGUAUUUUCGAUGUGUAAAACUUGAUGCUACUAUGUUGCAAAUAAGAAAGGUAGCAUGUUAUAAUAGACAGUUACAGUGCUUAUGCAGACUUCCAAAGAAUCUGUGGCAGCAAUAUGCAGGUGUUGAUUAUGUGAAAGUUAGACAUAAAUCAACAACUAAGAAGCCUUUAGAAGGACCAUUACAACAAGAAAACAGCUCAUUCACCGAAGACUUCAGUUCACUAUCAGAGUCCUAUAUUAAUCAAGAUAGUAUUAAAUGUUAUGACGGAGACCAAAUACAGAGAAUUGUAAAAGAGCACCCAUCCCAUAAGCAAUUAGAAAAGGAAGUUGACACAGCAGACUUUUCAGAAUUUUAUAAGAGGUAUGGAGAGGGCUCGGUAAGAAGUAGUGAAAAUACUGAAAACAGCAGUAUAUCAAUUCUUCCAUUGAAUGAUGUUCUGAAGACUCUUCAAGAGGAACAUUUUAAAAGAUAUCCAAGUGGAGGCCAGGAGAAAAGGCAAGAAAGAACUCAAGUCCCAAGUGACUCAAAUAUUGAUAGAGAACAGAAAACUAAUAGCAAGGCUACUAAUUCCAAAAAAGGAAAAGAUGUUCACAAGAAUUUUCAUCAGAAGUCAAGUACUUCACUGAGUAAGAAAAAAAUUGUUAUUAUCAAAGGGAAGAAUGAUAUUAAUAAAAAUAAAAUUGAUAAAAUAAAUGAAAUUCCUAGGAAUCAGAAUCAGGUAAAACCACUCACUGGAACAUUACAUGGAUUGUCAGAUGAAGGGAAAACAUUACUCGAUUUGUCAGAAAAAUAUGGAAAAGAAGCUGAGAGAAAAGAGAACAGCGAAUCAAGAAUAAGAGAAAUAUUACUAAAAGAAUUUAAUGGUAUUCAAAACAAGAAAUCUGCCAGUACAAUGUAUAGGGAGAGUAAGCUUGGAAUACAAAUGCUCUCAUCUCCCCUCUAUGAACAACUCUUUUCUACUGUCACUCCAAAAGAAGAACAGGAGAUUGAAGAUGAUUUAGAGAGAAGCAAGGAACAUCUUAUGGCUCAAGGCUUGUGGGGAAAAGAACCAUCUGUUGUUCCUGACUUUGAUUUCAAGUUGCCUCCAUUAAAAGAUAGAGAGCUUGAUCAACAUUUCCGCAUUAUUGCUGAAGAGCAGUCUGCACCCUAUAAAGCUCUGCUUAAUCAAUUAUUAGGUGCUGAUAUACCAAGUUUUCCCAGAAAAUGGCAGUUUAUGCCAGGAUGGACCCGUUAUAAUCCUAAUGGAAGUUUCACAGCAGUUGAUUACCCAGACUGUAAAGCUUUAGUUUUUGAUGUGGAAGUGUGUGUAGAAGAAGGGAAAGCGCCAACUUUAGCUACAGCAGUUUCAGAUAAGUAUUGGUAUUCUUGGUGUAGUAAUUUAUUGGUUGAAGAUCAAAGAGAAGGAACCCAAGAAGUUCUUUACAAUGACCUUAUACCUCUUGAAUCAUUAAAAGAAACUGACUUCAAUCAGGGCAAGAGCAUGCCACGAGUCAUCAUUGGGCAUAAUGUUAGUUAUGAUAGAUUAAGGGUACGUGAGCAGUACCAAGUGGAGGGAACGCCAGUACGUUUUGUGGAUACAAUGUCAUUACACAUAGCUGUAAGUGGACUUAUUUCAGAGCAAAGAGCAAUGAUGUUAAAAAAUAAAAAUGCAGAUCAAAAAAUUAGGCUUCCUUGGAUGUUUGUUGGAUGCCAAAACAGUCUUAAUGAAGUCUUUAAGUUUUACUGCCACACAGAUGAAGAACUGAAAAAGGAUACACGAAAUGUAUUUGUCAAAGGCAGUAUUGUUGAGAUUCGUGAAGAUUUUCAAAAUCUGAUGAGUUACUGUGCUAGUGAUGUGAAAGCUACACACAUGGUACUAGUAAAGUUGUUACCUUUAUUUUUUGAACGAUUUCCUCAUCCAGUAAGUUUUGCUGGUAUGUUAGAAAUGGGAACAACAUUUUUACCAGUAACAUGGAACUGGCCUAAGUAUAUCAGUGCUGCAGAGUCUGAAUUCCAUAGAAUGGAAAGACUGCUAAAUGAAGAAUUGGUGAAACAGGCAAGAGGAGCACUAAAAUAUGUAGAUAACAAAGAGUAUGAAAAUGACCCAUGGCUUUGGAGUCUUGACUGGUCAGUACCAAAAGGAAGAGUAAAGAAGUUACCUGGAUAUCCAAAUUGGUAUAGGAAAUUAUGUGCACACACUGGAGAAAGGGAAGGUACACCUGAACCUGAAAACAUGAGCACAAGUUUACAGGUUGUACCAAGACUGCUAAGAUUAACCUGGAAUGGGCUUCCUCUGCAUUAUGAGAGAAAAUAUGGUUGGGGAUACUUGAAACCUAUUUAUGAUAAUGUGAAUGAAAUACCACAUCAGAAAACAACAUUGGACAGCAACAGUGUGUAUCAGACUUUUCCAGUAAAUGCUCUCUAUAAGAUGUAUGCUGGCCAGAAAAUUGAUAUUGAAAGUUUCCUAAAAGAUAAAGAAAAUAAGACCAAUGAUCUGCCUGAAACAGAACAAGAUUGGUUGUCCCUUUUGUCCGAGAGUGAUUCAGACGUUAAAGUUUAUGAAAAAAGGAAAUCAAGAGACCAGAAUCAAAAGAAAAAAGAUGAAGAAAAAGGGUAUGAUAUUGGGAUUCCUGGAGUUCUAUUUAUUCCAUUGCCGCAUAAAGAUGGACCAGGCAAUCGAGUGGGUAAUCCCCUUGCAAAAGACUUUCUUCUGAAAAUUGAAGAUAAAACUUUAAGCAGUUACUUUGGAGAUAUAGCCGAGUUAGUUCUGAAGACCAGCAAAUCAUUGUCAUAUUGGCGGAAUAACAGAGACAGAAUACUUUCCCAGAUGGUCAUAUGGAAUGACCAGAAUGAUAAUACUGGUAAAGAGAUUUCAGAAGCUAAUGAAAAGAAGGAAUGUAGAACUGGUAUUAUUUUGCCAAUGGUAGUGACAGCGGGUACUAUCACUCGGCGUGCAGUGGAACCUACAUGGAUGACAGCCUCUAAUGCCUAUGUAGAUCGCAUUGGUUCUGAACUGAAAGCCAUGGUUGAAGCCCCUCCUGGAUACAAUUUUGUUGGAGCAGAUGUUGAUUCGCAAGAAUUGUGGAUUGCUGCAGUGCUUGGUGAUGCAUAUUUCUCUGGUGAGCACGGAGCUACUGCUCUUGGCUGGAUGACAUUGCAAGGGAAAAAGUCUGAUGGUUCAGAUAUGCACAGUCGAACUGCCAAUACAGCUGGCAUAUCACGUGAUCAUGCUAAGGUCAUUAAUUAUGGAAGAAUUUAUGGGGCAGGAUUACGCUUUAUUCAAAGGCUUUUGCGUCAGUUCAAUCCUAAAUUAUCAGAAGAAGAAACUCAGCAACGUGCCACACAACUGUUUGCAACUACCAAGGGACAAAAAGGAUGGUACCUCAACAAGAUGGGACAAAAUCUUGCCUUGGAACUGAAUUAUCCAAUCAGUGGAGAAGCUCUAGAUCGCAAAGAGAUAAAUAAGUUGCUGAGACAGGCCAGAUAUAACAACAUAGAGGCAUCCUUUUAUGAUAUAGUGGAUGGUCCUGCUGUAUGGGUAGGUGGCUCCGAGUCAUAUAUGUUCAACUGUUUAGAAGCAAUAGCCAGGUCUGAGGAGCCACGGACACCAGUACUAGGGGCAAGAGUAACUCGAGCUCUUGAAGCAAAGUAUGUGGACGACCAGUACAUGACUAGCAGAGUGAACUGGGUUGUCCAGAGCUCAGCUGUUGAUUAUCUUCACAUCAUGCUUGUGUCAAUGAAAUGGUUAUUCCAGGAGUACAACAUUAGAGGGAGAUUCUGUAUUAGCAUCCAUGAUGAGGUGAGAUACCUGGUAGCAACAAAAGACUCCCAUCGUGCUGCUCUGGCUCUGCAAAUCACCAACUUACUGACACGUUCACUCUUCGCUCAAAAAUUAGGUUUCAAAGAUUUGCCUCAGUCAGUAGCAUUCUUCAGUGCAGUAGACAUUGAUUAUGUUCUUCGAAAAGAGCCUCAUCUAGACUGUGUUACACCUUCAAAUCCUGAAGGACUGAAUAAAGGGUAUGGAAUUCCUCCAGGAGAGGCACUUGAUAUGCAGAAAAUUCUUGAGGUCACUUCAGGUAUUCUUGAGAAAAAUGGAGAGGAUGCCAGAUGAUAGUGUUAUUUUGCCGUAAGUACCAGUACACUGAUGGCAUAUUUGCAUAUACUUACACUUUCUGAGGUUGUUGAGAUAUGAAUUUUAGUUUCCUAUUAUUUUAAAUUUGGUAGAAUCAUGAUUUGAUAACAUCCAUUCACACUGUGGCUGGUGACAUGCAUCCAUAGCAUCCAGCAUGUAUUUCUUGUGUUGCAGUGCAUCUUUUCAUAUAAAAACAUUACUAAGAAAUGUACCUUGACUCAUUGAUAUAGCAUAACUGCUAUUUUGUCAUUAUAAAUACAGUUUCCUCAAGAAGUUCCUCUAUCACUGUUAUUUCCUACAAAGAUUGUGGCAGUAUUGCAGUGAUAACCUGGGUAUAUAUGGCUAAACAGGCCAAUAGGACCAGCCAUACUGUAGUAUGUAAUAUUGUAUAAAUAGGGAGGUGCUUAAAGCAUCACUAGAACGUAGUGGAUAAAGGAACUUUCUGAGUCAGAUACACUGUAUUCCAGAUUAGUAUUGAAUAUAGUAUGCACACUUCUUAGCACUAUAGUGACUCAUACUAUAUAUCAUACAAUAGACAUUAGGCAGUGCAUGGCUUUACAAAUACUUUAAUAAUUCUCUGGCAACUGAUGGUCCAUUACUCUUAAUCCAAGCAGAAUAACAAUUGGACACUUGGAUUUCCACGAGUCUGCCAGACUAGUUUUUUCCAAGAGUCUGCCAGACUAGUUUAUUGGACUGCCACAGGAGGCAUCAAGUGUGGUGGACAAGUGAAAGAUAAAAUAAGUGUGGCUGAAGGAAAAGUACCAAUAAUCAAUCUUUGGAAAUGUGAUAAAUGCAGAUUAAGUUCAUAAUGAUUUUGGUGAAGAAUGUACAAUAGUCUUUAAUAAAUCCUAUUAUUAAUUAUAUGG